AAUCAUUAUUAAAAAAAUUAUUAACAAUCGAAUCGGAACUGCUGAGAAUCUGUUACAUAUUACGAUAUAAAUGCACGUAGAACGAAUCGAUUUCACCAAAGGUGACCACGAUCGUAAUACCCUUAAUUCGCUCGAGGCGCCAAAGUGUUUAAGCGGAUAUGUAUAUCAAUCGCGAUCGUAUUUCAUCAUUUUUCGCAAUUACGAAACGUGUAUCGUCUACGACUUAUUGUCCACGAACGGUUACGAAUAGUUUCAACAACAUAGCCAGCCAUCGAGAGAUACAAAACAGCUCCGGUUACCACGAGAAGGAUUCUAAUUCUACCUAUAUCGUUACGACAUUAACACCCGCCUUAAUACAGGUGAUGCAACGAUACGAAUCGAUGUUCGUUAGAACUGAGAAAACGUGCGAUUGAGAAAAGGUCUUCUUCGAGGUAACGCUGGAAUCCUUAUGAAAAGGUCGCGCAACUUGUCCGAUCCGCGAUAAAGAUUAGAAUUUGCACCGAGAAUCAAUGCUUUGAAUUAUGCCACGAACUGAAUAUGUAUACUUGCCUCAACGUGUUCAUCGGUCGGUGUAGAAUGUUGGUAAAUACUCUUUGAAAACUUUGAUGAGUAUUCGAAUAUUUCUAUAAAUUGAUUUAUAGUGAAUGAUAUUUGAAGAUACUUAAACAUUUCACGUGUAUACACAACAUAUAUUAUCGAAGAUAUCCAAUUUCCACGUUUAUCACUUUGAUAAUCGACACUUUCAUUCAUUUUUAAUUUACAGUACUUGUACAAAUCUUUGAUUUUGCUCGAAAACAAUCGCAGAUCACUUACUUCUUGCACUACACUUUAUGAAAUGUUCAGUAACGAGUUUAAUUAAAAACUUAAUUAUGAUGAUUGCGAAAUAAUAGGAUAAUACAAUCGACCCAAUAAAUUGAUUGAGUGUCGUUUUUUAAUUAAGUUCUCAAGGAGAUCCACAAUUCUUUAAAUGGUGAACUAUUAUUUCUUUCAGAUAUAUACUCAACCGGAAUAGUUUCGUUCCUCAGACGAAUCAGUUACAUCUAAAGUUGCUUUGAAAUUUAUCAAUGAGGCUAGAUGUGGGUCAACCGACGAGAGUAUUCGCGAAUACAAUCGAAAAUUUUUCUGGAAUCUUCAACCAACUCGCAAACUUUCCCCGAUUAACCUCGUAAUUUUAUUCAAAUAUUUCUAAUAAUAAGCAAAAAUAACGAGAUAUCGAUCAAAAUAUAUGAAGAUUUAGAUUACUUGCAUCGAGGUUAUAUCGAUUCACACAAUUUAUUCUUACGAAAUCCAAAUUUUUUAAGAUAAUUCUAUUCGUUAUAUUCACAUUGAUUAAAAUUCGGAAUUAGAACUGUAGGAUUCGAAAAUCCAAACUUUGAAUAAAUCAAAAUAUUUAGUUAAAAUUAUUUGCGAGAUUUUCAAACGAAAGUAAUGACUAGAAAUUUGCAAGACUCAGAGUUCAAACUUCGGUAUAAAUCGGAAAACUUCGUAUAGAAUCGGGUUAACUUCGAGACAAAUCGGAAAACUUCGACAAAGACCGAAGUUCGAAGACGAAGCUCAGGAUCUCCAGCAAUAUUCUCGAAUAUAUAAUCUAAAGUAUCCGAGACUUCUUCAACCUCGAAUUCUUCCGAUUUAUCUUAUACUCUUAGAAUUCAGUAUUUACAUUUCUAGUAAUAUUAUUCGUGAAUAUUAGCAUGAACGAAGCAUAUUUUUUAUUUCAAGGCACUUGAGGUGCGGCACGUGCGGCAUGGGUCGGCGAAAAGGGUUAGGAGAGAGGUUGGCAGAGGGGAGGAGGAGGGUGGCGGUAGGUCAGCCGACGUUGGAUAACAUCGUGAGAGAAAAUAGCUGAUGUGUACGAGAAAAGUUGCCGGAACAAAAGAGGAGAAUGCACUGGCUACGUGACCGGGUUUUAUGAGUGAACCCAGCAACCUGACUCGUUGUCCCAAUGGUGUUCUUUUGUACUCUUUUGCCGAUGUUCCUUUCCCUGACAUUUAUCGAGAGAUAGAAUUUCGAUAGAAACUUCGAUGGAAAAUUUCCUCUCAUGUGUGCGGAUGGAAUGGUGUGGAUAAAAGAUGAAAGUUCAGUUCUAUUUUUUCCUCGAAGAAAAGAGAAAUUUUAUUAUUACUUAUUUUUGAAUUUUUUUAAAUUUAGAUUAUGAUUUUUCUUUGUUAUUUAUUCGCAAUUUUUAAGUAAUUAAUAUAGGCUAAAAUGUUUCAAAUAUUCUGCAUCAAAAAUUUUUUUUACUGGUAAAUAUGCAACUUUCUCUGAUUUAAUACAUCAAAAUAUUAUUAACUAAAGAUUUAUAUUCUUAUUAGUAUCUUAAUUAAUUUUUGAAUAGCAAAUAAUCUUAUUUACCAGAUUUAAAUUAUACUAAAAAUUCACUUAUCUCAUCAGAAAUUCACUUGAUACGCAUGGAAAAGUUGUAAGUUAUAUGUACAUUUAACAUUAUCUAUAAUUAAUGCAAAAAUUAUUAAUUCUAUAAACUUAACAAUGUACAUUUUACAUUUUAUCUACAAAUAAUAUUUAA